rnacentral:lncRNA from 1 species
GUUAACCAGGAUGGUUUCGAUCUCCUGACCUCGUGAUCUGCCCGCCUGGGCCUCCCAAAGUGCUGGGAUUACAGGUGUGAGCCACUGUGCCCAGCCUGAAAUCACAUUUUAAUGGAUGCAAUAGCUGCACAUAUGAAUAUACUGAGAUUUUGCUCUCUCAAAACAACACCAAGGAAGCCAGUGCUUUAGAGUCUUGUGUUGAAUGAAUCCAGUGGAUGUUUCAGGAGGGCUUUAGAGACCCCAUUACAUGAUGGCAAACUUCAACCACAAGUUGAUUUAGGACCCAACUUUGCCACUUAGUAGUUGUGCAGUUCGGGACAAUGCCUGUGCUUUGUGAACUGCAAGGUGGCCUCACCGCCAGCUUCCGCAUCAGGUGGUGGUGAGGCCUCCGGGAGGUGCUAUGCAAAGCGCCCAGUCUUGGAGGUGGUCACGGAGGGGCACAGGUGCUGUGCUGUCUCCCUCCUCCACCCCCUCCCCCUCACUUCACCACACAGGUCUAAAAGAGUUUCAUUGAAACUCUGAGUUAAGAAAGGGAUUCUUACGUACUGAAGGUUUAUCGAGGAUUCUUCAUGAUAAUAUCUGGGGUAUCAAUUCAAGUCUCAAGAACAGGGAUCUGCUUUUCCUGUAUCUGACUGUGCCUUUAACUGGCUGUACAACCUUGGAAAUCAUCCUCUCCAUGCUGCAAUUUCUUCAAUGAGGAAACAAGCAUAGUCAUGGGUUGUCCUGGGUGGAGGAGUUCAUUCAAAUCACCUAUACCAGCAUUGCUGAAAAUAGACAUUCCCUUCACCAGGACUUCAGCAAUAGAAGUACGUAAUUUUUGUGAAAAUUCUUUGUUGUAUCUUGUUGUCCUUAUGAACCAGACAUGAGCACAGGAGCUAGGAAGAUGUCAUCUUGAGUUGCUUACAUAUUUGAACUGAAAAUUAAAAAAAUCUUCCCUUCCCUCCAACAAGAACCCGUUGCCUGAACAAUGCUUUAGGAGAGCUAUUUUCCAGCACACACCCGUGUCUCUUCUCCAACACUCAAAGAUUAAAGUUAAAACAGUCUCUGAAAAGCUUUUAAACUGAAAGACAGAAAAUAAUACUUCCAUUGUAUUAUUUUAAGCAUUUAUUUUUUUCUUGUCAUAUCAUUUAAUUUUUAAUGAUCUUUGUUUUUUAUGGAAAUAUUUACAUCUGUCUCAUUAUAAAACUGC